rnacentral:rRNA from 1 species
UACGGAGGGUGCAAGCGUUAAUCGGAAUUACUGGGCGUAAAGGGCACGCAGGCGGUUUGUUAAGUCAGAUGUGAAAUCCCCGGGCUCAACCUUGGAACUGCAUCUGAUACUGGCGAGCUUGAGUUAGGUAGAGGGUGGUAGAAUUCCAGGUGUAGCGGUGAAAUGCGUAGAGAUGUGGAGGAAUACCGGUGGCGAAGGCGGCCCCCUGGACGAAGACUGACGCUCAGGUGCGAAAGCGUGGGGAGCAAACAGG